UACGUAGGGGGCUAGCGUUGUCCGGAAUUAUUGGGCGUAAAGAGCUCGUAGGUGGUCUGUUGCGUCCGCUGUGAAAACUCGGGGCUUAACCCCGAGCCUGCAGUGGAUACGGGCAGACUAGAGGUAGGUAGGGGAGAAUGGAAUUCCUGGUGUAGCGGUGAAAUGCGCAGAUAUCAGGAGGAACACCGGUGGCGAAGGCGGUUCUCUGGGCCUUACCUGACGCUGAGGAGCGAAAGCGUGGGGAGCGAACAGG
rnacentral:rRNA from 1 species